rnacentral:rRNA from 1 species
CACGUAGGGGGCGAGCGUUGUCCGGAUUUAUUGGGCGUAAAGAGCUCGUAGGCGGUUUCGUAAGUCGGAUGUGAAAACUCCAGGCUCAACUUGGAGACGCCAUUCGAUACUGCGAUGACUUGAGUCCGGUAGGGGAGUGUGGAAUUCCUGGUGUAGCGGUGAAAUGCGUAGAGAUCGGGAGGAACACCAGUGGCGAAGGCGGCCUUCUGGACCAAUACUGACGCUCAUGCACGAAAGCGUGGGGAGCAAACAGG